AGGACGAACGCUGGCGGCGUGCUUAACACAUGCAAGUCGAACGGAAAGGCCCUUUCGGGGGUACUCGAGUGGCGAACGGGUGAGUAACACGUGGGUGAUCUGCCCUGCACUUCGGGAUAAGCUUGGGAAACUGGGUCUAAUACCGGAUAGGACUACGGACUUCAUGGUUUGUGGUGGAAAGCUUUUGCGGUGUGGGAUGGGCCCGCGGCCUAUCAGCUUGUUGGUGGGGUAAUGGCCUACCAAGGCGACGACGGGUA
rnacentral:rRNA from 1 species